rnacentral:rRNA from 1 species
AAGACCUUGCGCUUUGGGAGCGGCCGAUGUCUGAUUAGCUAGUUGGUGGGGUAAAGGCCUACCAAGGCGACGAUCAGUAGUUGGUCUGAGAGGACGACCAGCCACACUGGGACUGAGACACGGCCCAGACUCCUACGGGAGGCAGCAGUGGGGAAUUUUGGACAAUGGGCGCAAGCCUGAUCCAGCAAUGCCGCGUGAGUGAAGAAGGCCUUCGGGUUGUAAAGCUCUUUCAGUCGAGAAGAAAAAGCUGCAGUGAAUAACUGUAGUUCAUGACGGUAUCGACAGAAGAAGCACCGGCUAACUACGUGCCAGCAGCCGCGGUAAUACGUAGGGUGCAAGCGUUAAUCGGAAUUACUGGGCGUAAAGGGUGCGCAGGUGGUUUUGUAGGUCAGAUGUGAAAUCCCCGGGCUUAACCUGGGAAUU